rnacentral:rRNA from 1 species
AGUGAACGCUGGCGGUAGGCCUAACACAUGCAAGUCGAACGGCAGCACAGUAAGAGCUUGCUCUUACGGGUGGCGAGUGGCGGACGGGUGAGGAAUACAUCGGAAUCUACUUUUUCGUGGGGGAUAACGUAGGGAAACUUACGCUAAUACCGCAUACGACCUACGGGUGAAAGCAGGGGAUCUUCGGACCUUGCGCGAUUGAAUGAGCCGAUGUCGGAUUAGCUAGUUGGCGGGGUAAAGGCCCACCAAGGCGACGAUCCGUAGCUGGUCUGAGAGGAUGAUCAGCCACACUGGAACUGAGACACGGUCCAGACUCCUACGGGAGGCAGCAGUGGGGAAUAUCGGACAAUGGGCGCAAGCCUGAUCCAGCCAUACCGCGUGAGUGAAGAAGGCCUUCGGGUUGUAAAGCCCUUUUGUUGGGAAAGAAAAGCAGCAGGUUAAUACCCCGCUGUUCUGACGGUACCCAAAGAAUAAGCACCGGCUAACUUCGUG